UACGGAGGAUCCAAGCGUUAUCCGGAUUCAUUGGGUUUAAAGGGUGCGUAGGCGGAUUUGUAAGUCAGCGGUGAAAUCCUACAGCUUAACUGUAGAACUGCCGUUGAUACUGCAAGUCUUGAGUACAUUUGAUGUGGGCGGAAUGUGUCAUGUAGCGGUGAAAUGCUUAGAUAUGACACGGAACACCAAUUGCGAAGGCAGCUCACAAAACUGUAACUGACGCUGAGGCACGACAGCGUGGGGAUCAAACAGGAUUAGAAACCGGGUAGUCC
rnacentral:rRNA from 1 species